rnacentral:lncRNA from 1 species
GGCACCCUAAUCCAUUCACGCCCUUUCCCCUGGGCCCCUCAGCCUGGGCCCCUUUCCUUUAAGGUGGUUCACCACCCAGCACCCAGAGCGAAUUUAGAAAUACCCUCUGAGUACACAGACACCCCGAGGCUGCCUGUGGCAGAAGGAAAAAUCCAAACUCCUCCCUGUGGCUGGAGCCCACUGGCCUGGGCAGCCUCAGGACCUUAGCACAUGCCUCACCCUGCUGGGUCUCUGCCCAGGUGAAGGCUCCUGAGUGGGUUCCCAGCAAGUUUCCCACAGCCCCUCCUCCAUCUCACUUCCUCUGGUGCCUUUUCUUCGAAGUCCUUCUCAAGGUCAAGGAGCUGAAGUCAUUUCCCCCUUGAACUGGAAGUGGGAAUGAUUUUGUCUCCCCGUUCCCCCACCCCCGUUGUGAUCCUGGCCUGAUAAAGAGCAGACACACAGGAAGAAAAGGAUGGAGGGUCCUGGCUGCCCCCCACCACCCCAGCUGACUUUUUUUUUUUUUUUUGCCAUUUCUUGGGCCGCUCCUGUGGCAUAUGGAGAUUCCCAGGCUAGGGGUCUAAUCGGGGCUGUAGCCGCCAGCCUACGCCAGAGCCACAGCAACGCGGGAUCCAAGCUGUGUCUGCAACCUACACCACAGCUCACGGCAACGCUGGAUCGUUAACCCAUUGAGCAAGGGCAGGGACUGAACCUGCAACCUCAUGGUUCCUAGUCGGAUUCGUUAACCACUGUGCCAUGACGGGAACUCUCAGCUGACUUUUGGCUCUGCCUGUGUGUGUUCUCAGCAUUAUAAUCAUCAAACAGAGGCGGAAACUGGGGCCCAAAGCAGGGGCCUGGGGCAGGGGAGGGGAGCUGAGGCUGGUGAGGGGCUAAGGGCGGGGGUGGGGGGAGCUGAGGCCAGGGGGUCUGGGGGCAGAGGAGGGGAGCUGAGGUGGCGCCGGGAGGGGGCGAGGCAGGGGCAGCUGGGGCUGGAGGGGUCUGGGAGCAGGCCCUUGUGAGGGGGGCCCAGAUGUGUGAACCCAGAGUCUGGCUUCCUUGGUUCCAUCCCCCUGCCCCAGUACCAGGAAAGGCUGCACAGGAAAGCGGCUCAAGGUGGGGCCCUUCCCAGGCCGGAGGUUUGGGCCCUUCUCGGGAAGCUGGGCCCUUAACCCGGGUGGGGGGCAGCAAGCCUGGUGAAUGGGUCUCUUCCCAGCCCCUGACCCCACUUCCUGCUGCCCAGCAGUGGAGGCCCUUGGAGGGCGUGGACCUGCCUCCCCCACCUCCGGCUCCCAGCCUCUGCUGGUCAACCAGGAACCAGGGACCUUCUGGAUAAGGAGACGCAGGCCUCUAAGAGGGCAGCGCUGGAAAAGCACGAUUACCAGGGCGUCAGCAGAGGCCACCCUGAGGGAGGGACAAGUGGGCUGAACAGAGAAAGAAGGUUCUGAGCAGAGGUGGGGAAGAGUCAGAGCCUGGGGAAAGGAGAGAGAAGAGGGUGGAGAGACAAGGAGAGACAGAGACAGACAGACAGAGGGAUGCGGCAGGGGCUUGGAGGGGAUGGGGUGGGAACUAAACUGCACUUCCCACACCUGCACCAGGGACAUCUGGUCCCGUCUCUGGGUGACUGAGCCUAUGAUGGGAACCGGUGGGUGGGGCUCUCAGCCUGGGCUUCCCGCUCCUGUCACCCCUUCCCUUCCCGGCAUCAUCCCCCCACAACCAAAGUCCUCAGUGGGCACUGCAGGAAGCCUUCUUCCCACAGAGGGUCCCAGCGGCCUUUUCACCCAUCUUCCCAAGACAGCAGGGUGCUCUGCAGGAGACUCAGGGCCAAGGGGGGGGAUGUCCAGAGAAGCCAGUGCCCCAACCCUGGGAGCUGCCCAUUCUCUGACCCCAGACCCUCUGCCCCCCACCAGGGGCUAGCUCCCCUUGCUGGCACCAUCGGCCAGCUGGGGGCCUUGGGGCUCUUCUUUGAGGUGAGCUGGAGCCCCUCUGCUCUGGUGCUGGAGCCUGCCUUCUUGGGGUCACUCUCUGCCUCAGCAGGUCGGGGGAGGAAGGAGACAGAGGCUGUGAGUGGUCCUCUGAUAAGCAGCCACACAGAAGUCUCUAGAACAGUACAGGGGCUGUUUCACUGGCCUUUGAUGUCCAGUUGGCCCAGCUGGGCUCAGGGUGUGUGGAGGGCUGAUACCCAGGACCCCAAACAAACCACUAAGGGGGAAUGCCCAUGAAGAUGUCGUGAAGAUGUUGCUUGCUGAUCCUUGCCCUCCUAGCCUGGAGUCUGCAUGCUGCCCGCCCCUCAUCUGAGGGACUGAGACUUGAGUCAUCAGGACCAUCAGGAGAGUGGAGGCUCUGAGCCAUGAUGUCUGGGUUCAGGACUGGAUUGGACAGCAGCCCCCAGAGGGAGUGGGAUGGGGGUGACUCUUAAGGCCCCAGAGCUAAGCCCAGCCUCCUUGGGGACUGCAGCUGGUCCUCCACCUGGGGUGGAGGGAUCAGGCAGGGACAACCCUGAGGGAGCUGGACAGGUAUGUGUGUGGGGUGCUUCAAGGGUCCUUGGGUCCCCCACCUACCCCAGGAGGCAGGAACACCCUGGUGGGGCUGGAGCUGCCAGACCAUUCCUGACCUCAGGCCCUGUGGCCAGUGCAGGCUAUGCUGUCCCCCAGUGGCAGCUCCUGGUCAAUGUGGGGAGGUCGGGGGAUCCCCGCUGAGCCUUUCCUGGGUGCAGGGCCAGGUGACUGCUGGGGGAUGAAAAGGGUGACCAGGAGCACCAGGAGGAGUGAGGAGCAGGCCUGUGGAGGAAGGCUGGCCUGGGAAGGUGUCCAGUGCUGAGAGGACAGGCCUCAGAGGCCAACUUGAGUGGCCCUGGCCCCUAAGGCAUGCAGAGGAGUGGGCCCUGGUCAGAAGGCCAGGGGCUGCCAUCUCACUCAGCUCCAUGUGGAACAGGUAGAAGAGGGAUCUGGAGAGGGUAUUGCACAGACCACAGAUGCCACAUGCUGCCCCAUACCACACCUGGGGACAGGAUGGCAGGAAGGCCACCAACCCUUCCAGACUACCCCCAGGGCAGGGGGCAGAGAAGGCCCAAACUGACCUUAGCAGGUGUGGGCAGGGUGGAGACCUGCCCACCCAACACCCACCUACCUGUCCACAACCCCCCACCCCUCUGGGUGUUAGGCUGCCAUUCCCACUGCCCAUGCACCUACCGCCCAUCUGUUGACUUGUCGUCCAUCUGUCCUCCCCCAAAUGAACACCCUGGCCCCUCCACCACCCCCUGCGGACAGACCACAACCACCACGGCAGCCCUGGGGUGGGGACCACCUGUGUCUGAGAAGGGGGGCACUGCUGUGUUCCCAUGUGUGUCUGAGGGUGGAGGCACCUCUCUGCUCCCAGGGGUGUGUCUGAGGAGGGAGGCAUUGCUCUGCCCCACCAGGAACGCAGACCCAGUGUUGUAGAAGAGGUUUGGGUGUUCUCUGAGGAGUGGGGAGUGCUGGUAAAGAAUUCGAACUGAUCAUAAGGAUUUGCCGUGGGUCAACAGGGCCAUUGCUGGGCUAGCUGUGUGAAAUUCCAACCUUGCCAUACUGGAGCCCAGCUGAUCCAUCCCAGGAGGGCCUGGCUGGGGAGGUGACAACAUUAGGGCAGAGGACAAACUCACCACCUGAAGUGUAAUUUUUAAUUUAAAUAUCAAUGUAAAAACAGAUAUUUGACUCUUAUUGGAAAACUUUAAAGAUAAGCAUGUUUGGAAAACUUGGGUCUAUGGAUCUACUUUUUCACUUACAAUUUUGGGAAAUCACAUAUACAGAUGAAAUACAAUGGAAAUUAAGUGGGAAAUACUUGUAAGGGUAAAACACACACUGAAUUUUGAGAAUUUAGUGUGAACAAAGAUUGUAAAAAUCCCAGUAUUUAUCAAGUACUAUAAGUUGCGGAGUUCCUGUCAUGGCAGGGGAAACGAAUCCAACUAGGAACCAUGAGGUUGCGGGUUCAAUCCCUGGCCUCACUCAGUGGGUUAAGGAUCCGGCGUUGCCAUGAGCUGUGGUGUAGGAGCCUCCAUAUGCUGGGGGUGCAGCCCUAAAAAGACAGAAAAGACCAAAAAAAAUAAAGCACCUUUUAUAAACUCAUCUUGAGUUACUUGUGGCUCCAGUUUUUCUACGUGGCCACGGGAACUCUAUUUCCAGUGGGCAGGGUGGGUGGAUGGGUGGGCUCUGGUCCUGUACUGACUGGUUUUGUGUCCAUGAGCAACAGAAUGGAAGUGGUGAGCACCCACUCCUCACCCAGACCCCAGGCUGAGACCUGGGAACCCUUGCUGUGCAAAGUGGUUAGUACAGUGGUUUUCAUCUGGCAGGGAUACUGGGUGAUGUCCGGGGACACCUGGUUGUCACACGGGGGGGCACUCCUGGCAUUCAGGGAGUGGGGCAAGGUGCUGUCCAAUCUCCCACAGUGCCUGGGAACAAUCGGGCCCCAGUGCCAGCAGUGCUUUCAUUGCCAGAGGCAGGGCAACACCAGGUGGGAAGCUGCUGGUGGAUGACUUGGGAGAAUCUGGUCGCCUUGACUAGAGGGGGAGGGCUUGGGGCUGGGGGUCACCAUCAGCACCCAGAGCAGACCCCCUGAAGGAAGUUCUCUGCUCAAGAAGCUUUUUUCAGGUACAGGCUCUUUUCCUGUGAUGUGAGUGAGACCAGAGGGUCUGGGGAGGAUCUCCCAGGCUGGCAGCAAGGUCUGGGUGUUGGCAAGUUCAGAGCCCAGGCAAGGUGGAGGUGAAGGUGGUUCUGCGGGGAGAGUGUGAAACUGGGGUUGCAGGAUUGUGCCUGGGUGUGUGGGGCUGGGCUCUGGAAGGACCAAGCUGGCUUUGGGGGUGCUGGGUAGGGAAUGGGGCCAAGGUUCAGCAUCCAAGGCUAAGGCUGGGAGCUCAGUGGUCCAGAUAUGGUGCCCAGUGUAUGGAGGGUUGUAUGGGGCUGAGGGUCAGGGUCCUGGCAGGACUGAGUGUCAGAUGUGAGGGCUGAUGGUCAGGGUUGGCCGAGCUGAGGGUCUGAGGUGAGGGCUGAGGGUCAGAGGCUAGGGCUGAGGGUCAGAAUCGGGCCGCGGCUGAGGGUCAGAAGUGAGGCCCGGGGGUCAGGGUCUGGCUGUGGUUCAAGCACUCACUGCACCGCUGUCCGUGGCGACAAUGUCCUGGGUCAGCUCAACGUGGCCCUGGGGGCCGCCGCCCCCUGCAGCCCCGAAGGCGGGGACGCUCCGGCUCCGCUCCAGCCAUGGUCACCGACUCCCGCCAGUUUUCAGCUGCAGCUGCCCUCGAGUACCGAUAUGCCUUGUG